ACAGCUUUUUUUGUGCCUUUUGCCUACUAGAAGUUGUGUAUCUUAUGUUAAAGACUGGCGGAAAAAGAGGACUGAAGAUAACAAUUGAUGUAAAGCUCCAGAACUGGCCUGUGCACCUAGACCUGUCUGUCUCCACUGCGAUCACCAUCGGAGGGCUGCCCGUCACCCCGCUGCCAGCUGCCAGCUGAGUCUCGAUCCGUCCAUGAAGACGAGGCUGUGCCACCAAGGUCGCAGCUGGCAUGAGUGCAAUCGGCACCACUGGGAAUCUGCAUCAUGGAAUUUUUUGAGAAUCCUGGAUGUACAGUACUGUUGGUCAACAGUGACAAAUAUCAUGUUAUUGUAACCUUGUUGCCAAGGAAACAUUGCUCCAGGGUAGGGUUUCCUUCUACAUGAGCUUUCUUCCUAGGUAGUGCUGAUUGUUUUACAUCUCUUGUAAAACACUUUGAGAUGUCUUGACAUUAAAUGCACUAUAAUUAUAUUUGCAGAUAGAUUAUUUGGUUGCUAAGACCGGGUUGUUAGAGUUGCUAUCUCAAGGUGAUUGUAGAGGUCUUGAACAUGCCUCACCAUUGACAUUGUGACAUUUUAACAUUUCAAAAUUGCUAGUAGUGCUUCUGUG
rnacentral:lncRNA from 1 species